rnacentral:hammerhead_ribozyme from 1 species
AUCCAGUUGACGAGUCCCAAAUAGAACGAUUUGCGCCUCCUGGAU